rnacentral:tRNA from 1 species
GCCCGGUUAGCUCAGUCGGUAGAGCAUCAGGCUUUUAAAAGCCUUGCCACGGGACUACGGCAACCUGAGGGUCAGGGGUUCAAGUCCCCUAUCGGGCG